UAGGGAAUCUUCGGCAAUGGACGAAAGUCUGACCGAGCAACGCCGCGUGAGUGAAGAAGGUUUUCGGAUCGUAAAACUCUGUUGUUAGAGAAGAACAAGGACGUUAGUAACUGAACGUCCCCUGACGGUAUCUAACCAGAAAGCCACGGCUAACUACGUGCCAGCAGCCGCGGUAAUACGUAGGUGGCAAGCGUUGUCCGGAUUUAUUGGGCGUAAAGCGAGCGCAGGCGGUUUCUUAAGUCUGAUGUGAAAGCCCCCGGCUCAACCGGAGAGGGUCAUUGGAAGCUGGGAGACGUGAGUGCAGAAGAGGGGGGUGGAAUUCCAGGUGUAGCGGUGAAAUGCGUAGAUAUAUGGAGGAACACCAGUGGCGAAGGCGGCUCUCUGGUCUGUAACUGACGAUGAGGCUCGAAAGCGUGGGGAGCAGACAGG
rnacentral:rRNA from 1 species